UUAAUUAUUACCUAAGCGUUCUAAUAACAUCCAGUACGUACCCUAUGCGCGCACUACCCGUCCCUUACCUUUGGACUUGGAGGUGUUUAGGGCCUCUAUUUAAGGUGGUUCUAGACUCACCUAUGUUGUUUAAAAGGGGAAAACUAAGCGACGAACAAAAGCUAAGUAGGACUGUCACACAAGAAGCAAUUAAGUGGGCUCAUGUUAAUCUCCACAAAUAGACAAACAAAUGCACACUGUUCAAACAAGCAAUUUUGAAUGACUUAGGAUCCUAUAGGUAGGAUGUCUAAAUGAGCACAAAACAGAAUAUACAGCAGUCUUAAAGCGAGCAGACGAGUACCUAUCAGUUUGCCUACUGAUUUGGUUAAUACUCUGAAUCUGGGCAUAUUUCUAACAAGCAAUCACAAUUUUAGACCUAGAAUUUUAAUUAACCUACAGGCUUGCCUAAGUGAUAAUCGAGCAGAACCUUAUAGACAUGGUAUCUAAGUCAUAAACCAAUUACUGAUUUUAACAGGCAGAUUUUUAUCUUUAAAUCCUACAGGCAUGCUUUCUAAGUGCUAAAAUUGAUUAUAGCAUUAUUUCUUAUAGACAUGAUACCUAAACACAGAAAGUGGUUUUUUACACUUACUUCCUAUAGGCAUGAUGUAUAAGUGUCAAGACUCGAUUUUAUAUGUAUUUCCUAUACGCAUGAUAUCUAAGUGUUGAAACUGUUUUUAUGCUUAUUUCCUAUAAGAAUGAUAUAAAAGUGCAAAACUGAUAUUUCUUAUAGGCAUGAUAACUAUAUGCAGAAUUGAUUAUCUUAUUUCCUAUAGGCAUGGUAUCUAGGUGACUUUAGUUCCUAUAGGCAGGAUAUCUAUUACUCAUGCGUAGGCAGAAUUCUUUAAGCACAUUGCCAGGAAAAUGGUUAUUCAAACAGACAAGAUCCUAUAGACAUGGUUACUAAUGCACAUUGAAUUGAGAAUCUGUGCAGAUCAUAUAAACAGGAUUUUUAAUGUGAAGAAUUAAACGUAAAGUCGUAUAGCAUGGUUUCUAACAUGCAGAUGUGCAAUACAGAGUCAAACGAUCAUAAAAUCCUAUAGGCAGGAUCUCUAAACAUAAUACAGUAUCCACAUAGUGCAAUCAGCAUAGUCAAGUCCUACAGGCAGGAUCUCUACCCAAUUUCAAUAGAAAUGUAAGAAUAGAGCCCUCCCCCCUAGCUUUUACUAAUAAUCCCAAUAUCUGUUUUUACAAAGAUUAUUAUUAUAGACCAAUACGAAUGAACUACACAAAGCUAUUCAUUACAUUAUAAGGAGCCUUGGCGCCCAACAUCAAUCCUGGAAACCAGGCCUUCAAGCAAGCAAGUCUGAUAUACAUAGGUGGCAGGAUCUAUAACACCUUAAGCCAUGCUUCCAGUGUGCCAAAGUUCCCCAAGAGCCUCAAGGACCCCGGGCAAUGCUCACACUGGAUCCAUACAUUUAGCACAGGAUUCAUAAGAAAUUGGAAGCCAGCUCCAAUGUGUUAGAGUUCAAAGGAGUCUCAGGGACCCUAGGCAGUGCUCACAUUGGAGGUGGUAGGAACCUAGGUAGCUAAGUGUGGAAAAUUGAAAGGGUAGUACAUGAAAGGGGUAGGGGAUAGUUUUUAGAAAAUAGUUUUUCUUCAGGGGCAAACAGAAAUAGAAUUCUACCUAGACAAGCAGAACCCAGACAGAUUGGUAUGAAUACUAUGUCAACUAAAGCAAUCACAAAAGAGCAGGGGCACUUGAGUUACAAAUAGAACUGACCAUACAUAUUUGCAGUAUCAUAGAGGCAUACAAUUGAAUCAACAAGGUUUCAAAUGUCUGAGGUUGAUAUGACUUAUUAAUUAUCACUAAGUGGAUACAUGUAGGCAUAUAUUGAACAGAAGUAUACUAAAGUUAAGAUAACCAAACAAACGAACAUAUAGAACAGGAUAGUAGGAAAUUAAAGCAUACUAGUCUAGAAAGAAGUACACAGAAAUCAUGGAUCAAACGGAAACAUGUUAAGGUAAGCUAUCUACACAGAAACAGAAACAUGUUAACAAACAUGUAACAUAAACAUGUUGAUGUCUAUUGUGAACUGACUACAUAGCAUAUAGAAUAGAGCAUGGUAAUAGAAAUUAAGGCAUACUAGUUAAGGAGAUAGUAAACAAGAAGGUGAAGACGAAUGAAAUCCAAGGAUCUAGCUAGGGGUGUUCAUCGUUCGGUUUGGAUCGGUUUUUUCCUAAAAAGAAACCAAACCAAGUAAGUCGGUUUUUCAAAUAUUAGAACCAAACCAAACCAAUUAAAUCGGUUUUUUCUCGAUUCGGUUUAUGUCGGAUUUUGUCGGUUUUUCGGUUAUUUAUCAGUUUUUUCUUAAAUAUAAGACAUACACUACCAAACACAUAUUUCGACGGCCACAUUUUCAACGUAACACUAUCAAAUCAAUUGCCUUUUGAGAAAUCUAUUAUUUACUAAAAUAUAUUGAUGAUAAGUGAAUCAAAUAGUGAUUAAUAAUUUAAGGACUCAAUUAAAAAUAUAUACUUUUUAACAUGAAAUGGAUUCUUACACUUAACAAAAAGAAAACUACCAAUCAAACUAGAAUAUAAAAGUAAAGAACUGUACGAAAAGUACAAACGAUUAACAUUCACCAUAAAAAUUUUAAAACUUUGUACAAAAAUAUACAUAUAUGUAGGUGUAAUAAUAAAUUUGAAAUAGCUAAUCCUAUAGUCGGUUUGGUUCGGUUAUUUCGGUUAUUUUUUUAUUAAAACCAAAACUAAAUCAAAUUUGAUCAGUUUUUAAAAUUCAAAACCAAAACCAAACCAAACCAAACCAAAAAAGUAUCGAUUUUUUUGGUCGGUUUGAUUUGGUUUUCGGUUUGGUUCGAUUUUUCGGGUUUUUAUGAACACCCCUAGAUCUAGCCUUGGCUUUUCGUUGGCUAGACAGUGCAAUAAAUCAAAGAAAUGUAAGUGUGUAAAUGUGUAUCAGUGUGUGCUUGUAAGUAUAGAUGUCUGAGUCUGAGCGUGUUUAAGAAAUCAGAAUGAUGAGGUUUAUAUAGCAUUUGGCAGAGCAGAACAAAUAAGGCAAAGAAAAUUAAGAGCUCACAAAUAAGGUAUGCAAACCAUUCAACUAGUUGAUUAGGGCUAAACCCAAUCAAUUAAUAUGACAGAAUCCGGGAAAAUAUCACUUAGAUUAGGGAGAAUCAAUUAACGGGAAAGAUUGAAGUUUAAUAAGGUAAGAAAGAAGUCAGGGGUCAUUUAUAGGUUGGUCAGAACAAAUCAAAACCCAGAAAUCAGGCCAAUAGCAUAUUUAAGGAAGGCAGUACCAAUUAUAAGUCACAUAUAAGAGAAGAAUAAAUAAAAAUCUCAGAAAGAUACAAAUUUAAAAGAAAAUAUAAUUUCAAACCCUAAUUAGUCAAAUAAAUCAAUUAACAAAUUUAUUUAACCGCGCCAAAGUGAACGGGCAAGAACAGUGAGAUAAAUAAUCGAAUAACGAAAAAUUUUGAGCAUAUUGAAACACAAAGAUGAAACAUCAAGCAAGGAAAUUAGUCGAGCAGUAAAGAAGAAAGGUCACGGUUGAACCUUUAAAUGCUUAAAAAUAUUUGCAGAAACUUAAAAGAUGAAACCCUAGUUCUUAGGGAAAAGUGAAAUCAAUAGAUAAUAGUGGUAAGACAAAAGAACCUUAAAGGAAAACGGUUAAAUAAUCCCCAAACACUUCAGAUCUAAAGAGAUCUGAACCUUUUCGACCAAAAAUAGUUAGGUUUGUACAAAAAUAAACGAAGGUGUAAAAAUCGAGUUUUAGACCGGAGAUUUGAAGCCACAAAGACACAAAAAAAUGAUAAUACUCACAAACAAAUGGUGAAUACUAAUGGAUUCAUCAGAAGAUUGAGAGAUUUGAACCAAAUCUAUUCGAAUCCCCUUGAGAUUCCAUCAAAUAACAAAGAGAUCAAACAAUUAAUAGAUAUAAGAGGCCGGAUAGAGACUAAGAUCGAAGAGGAACCCUAUGGAUUGAAGGGAGUUCAGGUGACGGUGGACUAGGGUUAGGGAGAGGUUGAGAGCGAAGAGAGGAGGUAGGGAUUUAGGGGCGGCGGUGUUUGAGAAAUAGGUAGGGUUUGGGGGGUCGUUUGGUUAAUAAAAAAGGAAAUGAAUCAUGGACCGCUGGGUUGGGGCGGGUUAUUUGGAGAUUGGGUUAUAGGUUAUAUUUAAGUGGGCUAGGGUAGUUUUGGGCUAGGUCUAGAAAAAAAGGCUAUGUUUUAAAUAUCCAUUUAAUUUAGUAAAAUAAUUUAUAAAUGAUAAAAUGUAAUUUGUAUGCAUGCAAAUGAUUUAAAAUAAUUACUUAACAUUAUAAAUAAUGAAUUUAGAUGAUUGAAUUAUCAUAAAAUAAUAUGAGGGAUAAUUAUUGGACAUUUGUAUAGUAAAAUGCAGAAAUAAAUUGGUUGAAAGCCUUUAAAAUUAUAGAAAAAAUUAUAAAGAUACUUGUGCAUGUUUGUAAAUGCAUGUGCACUAUUUUUGAAAAUAUACAUGCAUGUUAAAAAUAUAUGAGGGAAAAAUUGGGUAUCAACAGAGUUCCUUAAUUUGCUUCUUGUGACAUCUUUCCUUCAUGACUGCAGCAAAGUACUUUAAAUUUGAAUCUCCUAACUGUAUCCAUUGGGCUCUAGAUUUCUGCCUUAGUAUACUUCCCUCAAUCAGGCUUCAUUUCUCUAAAUUCAUUAGAACUUCUUUUUCCUUAAUCACAAGACUAUCAUCAUAGUUUGCUCUCAUUGCUGCCGGAAUUCUUUGAAGGUCAUCUCUUGCCCUGUCAAUCUUCUCUGUAGUUGCCUGAAAUUCUUUUUGAUUCAGUUGUCUAAAGGAUGAUCUCAUUGCCUUCACCUUAUUCCAGACAUUCUGCAUAAGGUCUCUAUCCAAUUACUUCUUCCAAUGUGCCUCCACUAUCUCCACAAAUUGUGCAUGCUCUCCCCAUAUACUGAAAAACCUUAAAGGAGCUCUGAUUUUUUUAAUUCACAUUGUGUAAAGUCAACAGCAUUAGGGCAUGGUCAGAUAUGUUAGGUAGACCAUAUUCUAAAACAAUAUGACCCCAGUUCAUCAUCCAGUCAUGGUUACCAAAGGCCCUGUCUAUUUUGGUACUUACUCUCUUUACUCCUUGUUGUUUAUUUGACCAUAUGUAAUAAUCACCUUUCCAUUGUAGUUCACUUAGUAAUGUGGAAUUAAUAUAGUCUGCAAAAUCUUUAACUUCAUUGAAGGUAACAGGAUGGCAGCUUAUUCUAUCUGUAGUUAUUAGGAUUGCAUUAAACUCUCCACAGACUAACCAUGGAUAGUCAGUACUACUAGAUAUAUCUUGCAAACUGGUCCAUAAGCUUCUCCUUUCUUCCACAAUAUUAAAUCCAUAAACAGUAGUCAAAACACAUUGUAGAUUAUUAGAAGUAUCUCUAACUUCACAAUGUAUUAACUGAGCUUCCACCUACUGAACAGCUAUAGUAUAUUUACCUUGAUUUCACAUCAACCAGAUUCUUCAAUUAACAGUAGCAGAGUAAUUAUUAAUAAUACCCCAAUUUGAAGCAAUAUUAUUAGCUAUUUUCAAACAUCUAUAUUGCUUAACCCUGGUUUCCAGCAGGCCCAGUAUUUUGAUAUUUUUUAUCCUUAUAUACUUCUUUAGAUCUUUUUGUUUAUACACUUUAUUCACACCCCUAAUAUUCCAUAUGAGCCAAGUCAUUGAGCAAUGAUAAGACCCCCCAGAUCAGGAGGUUCUACUUGUCUUGUUCUCUGUACCUCUCUUUGUUUUAUCCCAACAUUCCCAUUCUUUGCGUUACUCAACAUAACAGCACCCAACUGUGGAAAGUUGAUCAAAUUCAGCUCUGGGCUAGGUACCUGCUCCUUGUCUUUAGAAGCAUUCUUUAUCACUCCUUCUGGUGUUGUUACUUUGCUGGGUGAUCCAGUGUCCUAUUGUUGCAGCUUGUUCACAUCAUCAUUGACUUUAGGUUGAGUGACUCCAACAUAGACUAGUUGUUGUGUAUCUACCAUCUGGCUCGUAGAUGGUAUAUCUUUAGGCUUCCAUUCCUGAACCACCUUCUUCUGCUCACCUCUUCUUCUAUUUUGCAUUGGCCUUUCUUGUUGCUCAGGUAUCUUAGUGCAUAUGUGCCCAAUAGUUAGACAUUGAGGGCAGAAUUGAGGCUUCCAUUCAAAUACCACCUCCUGCUAAAUUGUUUUUCCAUUUGGCUCCAUAAUCACUAUUGUUUCAGGUAAUGGCUUAGAUACAUUAACUUCAAACAACAUUCUAGUAUAGGAAAUCCCUGUUUGUUUAGUCGUACACUCAUUUGCAAAUAAACGCUUCCCCAAUGCAUUAGCUAUUCUGCCCAAGGAUCCACAUCCCCAACAACUCAUAGGUAAUUUGGGAAAUUUCACCCAUAAUGGGAUCUCUGUCAUAAACUCUUGACUGAAUUCAAAUGCAGAGGUCCAUGGUUUUAAGAUAAUUGGUUGAUUUCUAAUAGAGUAAGGCCCAGAAAAUAGAAUUUCAUUCAUAUCAUUUGUAUCAUGAAAUCAAGCCACAUAAUACGCUUCCUCAUGCAAAACUAGAUUUGGCAUAGUUAUAGAAUUCCACAUUUGAGAAAUGUACCUAUGCGUGAGUGAAUAUCAUGGUGUUUCCCCCAUCACAUAGACAAUGAGGGCAUUUUUCCACUUCUCCGCUUCUUUUUCCACUUCGCUCUUUUUAAGAUGGACUAUAGUUUCCCCAUUAACAAUUUGAGGCAGAAAGUAGCUUAGGGUCAUACCGUUCUCUGCAGCUCUGUUUCUAGCAAACAAGGAGUUCCACUUCGGCUUCACAACCUCAUCCUUCACUUCAUUAGCUUCCUUAUCUGCCUCCUGAUUUUCAUUGUUUGGUCCCCAUCCACUUGAGCUGGAAUAGUUACAUUUUGGAUUGGAUCUCGACUUGUUUCAACUGAUUUUCAUUCUCUAUCAGUGAUCUCUCUAGUAAUGGAGUUUUGUUUGCAUCCACCAUUACCACUAUAGGUCUCUUUUCUACCGCUGAACUCAAUGAAGGUUCCAGAUCUGGGUACUGUUCCAUUGAAACUUUAGCAGCUGGUUGCUUUGAUGUUGAAGUAGUCAUCUUAGAUUGAACAUGCACAGCACUUCCAAAGGCUAUAUGUAUCUCUUUCUUAGGUCGUCCCCUUCCUCGACCUCGUCCCCUUCCCAUGGACCUCCAGAGCGCACGUUAGACUAACCUGCGCUUAGAGAGAAGCUGGAGCGAAGAGAGAGAAAGUUGGAUGGUUGUUACAUUAUUCUCCGUUCACUUUUACUUGGCAUGUUUUGACUUUUUACGCCCCUUUAUUUUUUCUGUUUUGCCCUUAGAAUUAAUUUCUCAUUCCAAAUCCAUUAAAACUAUACACCAAUUAAUAUGGGUAUCAUGGCAAAUUAUGCACUUUGUUUAUUAUUUCUUAAAGGUUGUACAAAGUCAAUAGUGAACAAGUAAAAGUGAACUAAUGGAGUAUAUUUAUGAUGUCCAAGUAUAAUAUAUAUAAUUCAAUUACCUAAACUCCUCAUUCCCGUACUUCCCAUUUAAUGAUCUAAGACUUUUAGCUUUGAUGUCAUCCUCCUCGUUCCCAUAGCUUAAUUGUUACUAUGUAGUAUUUACUUUGUUUGCAAAAUGCAAAGAAAAGAAGAAGCAAUCAUUUUUUUAAAAAAAAAAUCAUAUGUACAUCAAAAUUUCAAUAUAUUUUUCUACAGAGAGUAAUAAAACAGCAUGAUAUGGCGGCUGAUAGGCAGACUCUAGCCAGAGUAUUAUUAUCCAUCAAUAAUUAAUUUUGGAAUGACAAGCAUUUUCUGGAUUUAUUUUUUUUGAAAAAUAUGUAUUUUUAGAAAAAUAUUGUAUUGAAUAAUAUUUUCUGGUAUUUGAUUAGAAGGUAAAAAAAAAUUUGGAAAAGAGUAUUUGCUAAAGAAUGGUAAUAUUGUUUAGGUGUUGGUUGGAGUGUAGUAUUACGAAGUCAAGAGUUGAGAUAAUUAUAAAAAAGAUAAUUUCUACCCAAAAGUGGGAGAUUUUUUUGACAAUUAAACAUAAAAAAGACUACUUGUUUAAAAACAUUUUACGAAAAAAAUUCCGCCAUACUAAUUAAACACACGUUCCAUAAAUAAAAAGAACUUAGAUCUGGAGUCUUAACUGCAUUACAGAUAAAUAAUUAAUUUGAACCAAAUUAUUGUCCUAUGAUUUACGUAACACCAAAUGAAAAUAGUGAAGAAGAGAAGGCUAUUUGUAUAAAAAUUUCAAAAAAUUCUGAGUGUAGGAGUAUCAUUUUCUUUCUCUCACUUCUUUUCUAAUUUGUCCUGUUGUGGGGUGGCUAGGAGAGGAAUAGUUAGCAUAGAGGGUAGGGUGGGGUAACCCCAGGAGCACAUCUCUUUAUUCAUAUUUCCCUUUAAUCUGUUGAAGAGUUUGCAGAGAAAAGUGAUCAGUCUGACAAGAAGGCAACUUCUCAAGCUUAGAUAGACAGUUAGUUAGACACACAUGUGAGUCUGUGUAUUUUUUAUCCAUUUUCUUUUACUACAAUCAACAAAGCUGUCUCAGUUGAUAUAUAUAUCUUUCUCUUUCUCUGCCUUCCCUUUCUUCUUCUUUUGUGUUUAUUUUAUAUCUGAAGAUCCCUGAUUAUACCCUUUAUUUUUGUCAGCUGUAAGCACAAUUUUGAUAUCCCAUUUAUCUACUUAAACAAAUCCACCAUCUUUUAUUUUAUAUAUCAAAAUCAAAAGCCAUCAUCAUCCCAUGUUUUGGGAGUUUUCAUAUAUAUAUUUGAAUUAAUAUUUAACUCUAUGCUCUUCGUCAAAAAUGUUCUCCAUCUUUAUAAUUCUUCGUGGAUUUAUUAUAAGCUUCUUCUCUCUUACUUUCUUUCAGGUACCUUCCAUCAGUACAAGUUAGCGCAGGUGUUCGAAGUCAAGAAAAACAAAAAAGGACUUUAAUUUCUUGAUUGAUUGUGAAUUUAAAAUUAUUCUUCCUGCAAUCUGCUUCUAUGUACUAUCAAGGAACCUCGGAUAAUAUUCAUCAAGCCGCUGAUGGUAAUAUUCAGACACUUUAUCUGAUGAACCCUAACUAUAUUCAUCAAGGGUACAGUAAUGACACACAACAACAACAACACCAACACCAACACCAUCAGCAACAAAUUAUACGCCACGCGCCGCUGCAGCAGGCACAGCAGCACUUUGUCGGCGUCCCUCUUCCGGCAGUUAGUUUGCACGAUCAGAAUCAUGCCCAGCUUAUCCACCGUCUGUGGAACCAAAGUGGUGGUGGUGGUGGAAAUGGAAGUCAUCACCAAUCCCAGAUUAUACCGUCAUCCACGGUGGUUUCCGCCACCUCCUGUGGCGGCAGCACCACGGACUUGGCCUCUCAGUUGGGGUUCCAGAGGCCAAUAAUCAUGUCGCCGACACAACAACAACAACAACAACAAGGUGGUCUAUCGCUAAGCCUUUCUCCUCAACAACAACAAAUUAGUUUCAACAACAUUUCAGCUCAGAAUCAAGUUGGAUCAAAUAUUAAUAGAGGAUUAGAUGGAAUUUCCAGCAUGGUUUUAGGCUCUAAGUACCUGAAAGCUGCACAAGAGCUUCUAGAUGAAGUUGUUAAUGUUGGAAAAUGUAUCAAAGGAAGUGAAUUGGAGAAGGGGGAAUUAAUGAAUAAAGAAUCAAUACUGCCUUUGGCUAGUGAUGUGAACACUAGUAAUAGUGGAGGUGAAAGUAGCAGCAAGCAGAAAAAUGGAGUUGCUGAACUUACAACUGCUCAAAGACAAGAAUUUCAAAUGAAGAAAGCCAAGCUUGUUACCAUGCUUGAAGAGGUACUUACUCCAAUUCAUAUAUUCACAAUUUUAUCUUCUACUACUUCUUAUUUUUCAUUAUCCUGCUGAAUUCUAAUCUCAUAAAAUUGUCAAACUUUAGCUUCCUUAGCUUGACGUGGAGUUUUGUUUAAACAAAUCAAUCAAAUGAUCCAAAACUCUAAAAACAAUUUAUAUCUACUCUACUAUAAUUUACCAUUUUCUCAAAGUUUUGUGCAGGAGAAAUUAAAUGGGUGACACUAUGGAUUCAUAUUUGAUACUGUAAUUGGUAGACGAAAACGUACCAUGGCUUUAAAAUUUAGACACCAAUCACACGUUUCUUCUCUCUUGAUAUCUAAGCUGACAAUGUGUGGCUCUAAAUUUUCUUCUGCGGGUCCAACUAAAGCUACAGUUAGUAGUACAGUAUAGGAACCUAAAAACUGUCUUCCCCUAGGCGAAAAGCAAUAACUCAUAUUCACUAAUUAUUUCUUACUUGGAGUCUUUCAACGGAGAGCUCUUCAACUUUUUUUUUUUUUUUGUGAGGGAACGACAAAGACUGAAUUUCAGUGGAUUGUGGCAAUAAGGUCACUCUGACACUUGACAUACCCUAAAGCUCUUUAAUUUCUUAUUAAAGUAGUAACUAGAAAUACGUGCUCAAUUUUUAUCGCUGUCUCAAAAGGUUUUCUCGGCCUUUACUACUAGCAAACAUCAAAUAAUUUCGUGUUAUAAAACGACAUAUUACUAUGAAAAGUAAUGACUUUUUUUUGGGUUGGUUUAGGUGGAGCAAAGGUACAGACAGUACCAUCACCAAAUGCAAAUAAUUGUAUCAUCAUUCGAGCAAGUAGCAGGAAUUGGAUCUGCAAAAUCAUACACACAACUGGCUUUGCAUGCAAUUUCGAAGCAGUUCCGAUGCUUAAAAGAUGCUAUUGUUGGACAAAUAAAGGCCACGAGCAAGAGUUUGGGUGAAGAAGAUCAAAGCUUAGGAGAGAAAAUUGAAGGGUCACGACUUAAAUUUGUAGACCAUCAUCUUAGGCAACAACGUGCACUUCAACAGCUAGGAAUGAUGCAACCAAAUGCUUGGAGACCCCAAAGAGGUUUACCUGAAAGAGCUGUCUCUGUCCUUCGUGCUUGGCUUUUCGAGCAUUUUCUUCAUCCGUAAGUACUAUAUUCACAUCUAUGCACUAACGAUGUGAAAAAUAUAUACUCUCAAAUAGAAAAUUGCUUCUUACCAGGUUUUUACUAAUAAUUCUAAAGCCAAAGGCGGAUUAAUUAGGAUGUCUGAUCAUGCAUUCUUCAGUCUAAUUGAAUAUCUUACUCUUAGGUCGAACUAUGUAUGCAUAUAAAUAUAAAUUAAAAUGUCUACGCACAAAAAUCACACUUAUUCUAAAGUGUAUCAGGUUCCGUCUUUGACUAGUUGUAAACAUAAAUCUUCUUAUAAAAGAAAUUAUCUUUCUCCAAUAUAAAAGUUUUUUUUAGUUACCAAGUUCUUGUCACUAAUUAAUAUACUUGUUGUAUUUUUUGUUUUUAACAACAAAAAUUGUUUUUUUCCCCGGGUUUUUGUAUUGCAGUUAUCCCAAGGAUUCAGACAAAAUCAUGCUUGCGAAGCAAACCGGGCUAACAAGGAGCCAGGUUCUUGGACAAACAUUCUACUUUUAUUAAUUCUUGAUUAAUUAGUUCUUUUUCUUAUUUAUAAAAAACCCUGAUAAAUGAAUUGCAGGUCUCCAACUGGUUCAUAAAUGCUCGAGUUCGACUAUGGAAGCCAAUGGUGGAAGAAAUGUACUUGGAAGAAAUGAAGAAUAAUCAAGAACAAAAUAGCUCAUCAGAAGAAAACAAAAACAAAAAUGAAUCCAACAAAGAGAAAAUGGUCUCAAAAUCAAGUGCUCCACAAGAAAGUGGUACUCCAACAGAAAUUGCAACCUCAACUAUUUCAACUCCUCCUACUGCAUGUGGCUCAUCAUUUCAAGCAGCACAAGCUCACAACUUUUCCUUUCUUGGUUCAUUAAACAUGGAAAAUAAUACUACUACUAAAAAGCCAAGAAAUCAUGACAUGCAUAAUAAUUCUCCAAGUAAUAUUCUUUCAUCGGUAGACAUGGCCGAAACCAAAGCUAGAGAUCAUCAAUCAAAAAAAGGGUUCAAUCCUUUAAUGGAUGCAGCAGCAGUAUAUACAAUGGGAGAAUUUGGAAGGUUUAAUCCGCAUGAACAAAUGGCAGCAACAAAUUUUCAUGGAAAUAAUGGUGUCUCUCUUACUUUAGGGCUUCCUCCUAAUUCUGAAAACCUGAGCCAACAGAGUUACCAAAAUACUAUUGAGUUCAAUAGAAUGAGCUAUGAGAACAUUGAUUUUCAGAAUAAGCGGUUCCCUUCUCAAAUAUUACCAGAUUUUGUUGCAGGUAAUCUUGGAACAUGAAAAGCACACAAUUUCUUGUAUAUAGGAAAUAUUCUUUUUUUUUAUAUAGAAAAAAAAAAGAGAUUUGUGCUUUAGUGUGUAGAUAGAGUCUGCUUAAUUAGUAUAGGUCAUACUUCCAAUUGUCAGAGAAAAGAUAUACAAAAUAGCUUGCUUGGAGUAAUAUUUAAGGUUAAUGUGGAAAAUAGUAUAUAGUUUGUUGUAAAGUUGAGAUAUUAUAUUGUUCCUCUCAAUUUGCAUAUAAUUUGAUACUAUAUAUGUUUUGCACGUACCAGCCUCUAACCUCUAUUUCUAUUAUUUGUAAUUGCAGUUUUAUUUUAUUUUUACGUUUAAGUUUGGUGCAAGUUUAUAGUGUCACGCUUUCACUAUUAGCUUACCAGUUGUACACCUUGUCACACCUCCUUUUUCUACCCGGAAAGGGUAUAGGGGAGUUUUUCCAAUUAAAGUGACAAUAAUUGAAACGGGAUAGUUUAUUCAAAUUCAGAGCCGCCAUUUGAGAUAAUUUAUGGUGUCCCAAGUCACCAGCUUAAAAUCCCGAAUCGAGGAAGAUUGACUCUGUUUUACAGUCCGCGAAAUACAGAAAUCCGGGUAAGGAAUUUUGUUAACCCGGGAGAUGGUGUUAGGCAUUCCCGAAUUCCAUGGUUUUAGCACGGUUGCUCAACUAUUAAUAUUGGCCUAAUUAUCCGAUUUAAUACAUCUUUGAAACCUAUGUGCAUUUUAUUCCUUUUAACUGCUUUUAACAUUAGAAUAAAUCACGAUUGUCAUACACUUGUUUAUUUUGUACACAUUAGGAAUCGUGUCACAGGAACCGUACCCACGAUCUACAAUAUGUUUAAUUUAUUAACAAAUUAGAAAUAGUGGCCGGGUCACGUAAGAUGUACCCCGGAUUUGAAAAUUAUUUAUAUUUAUCACAAAUACGUCACGAAAACCGUACCUGUAGCUAUGAUGAUUUUUAUUAUAGCGCGCUUAAAGCAAACUACGAAUACUCAUAAUUUAUUCAACUUUUAAACCCAAACCCCCACGGUCCAAUUCGAUAUCCAAAACAGCGAGAAUAUAAAAUUUCUUCACGUUUUUAAAUCCAACCCCUACUGUUAGAAACACUUUCAAUUAAUGCUCCAAGUUAAUUUCUUACCUAACCAUAUUCAAAGCUAGAUAUUAAACAUCAAUGGAACUGAUGACAAGAACGAAAAUAGAACUCAUCCUUGAUUAAGAGGAAAGAACAUUGAGGUCAAAAAUCCCAACUCUGUACAUUUCCGGAACAAAGCCAAUUGACACCAAAAUGUUAAACAAAGAUAACAAAAUAUGCACAAGAGCCAGAUUACAGUGAUACGAUAGACAUCACAAUCUCAGGAGCAGAUUUAACAAAAGACUUAAUACACAAGCCAAAUUUCAGUGAUUCAAUAGAUCCUUUAUCCGGUUAAAUCAACUUAAAUCUAAACCUUGCAACUCUGAAAAGUAGCCGAAACUGAAGCAAAUUAUCCGAUUUAAAGCAGAAACUGUUAUUCAAAAUAUCGCAUAACAUCACGUAAUCGGACAGCAGCCGAAAUUGAAGCAUCGAAUCAUCACAUAAGUAACAAAAUGAAACAGAGGAAGAAGAAACCGAGUAAUGAAAUUUUCAGAGAGACAAAGGAUAAAUUAUUACACACUUCAACGUAAUAGAGCAUCCAACGACAAUUACAGCAUUUCAAAUCGAAAGUUCACACCUGAAACGCGAAUAAAAUCGAAAAAAUAAAGCAGAACAAAGACCAAAUCGCCACCGGAGCUCGAACGAAAAACCCAUCAACGAACUCGAGCUCGACCGUAAUUUUUGUGUUCAAAUGUUGUCUUGGACUGAAAAUCGCCGGAAAAUACACAAGCUACCAGAAAUAUUGGAUUCAGCCGGAUCUGAUUUGGGAUUGGAGUUUACGUGAUGUCCAUGGCUGGUUUAAGGUUUUUGGAGCUGAUUUCGACUGCAAAUCUGGGCUAUUUCUUGACUGGUUCCUUGGCUGGAUUCUAGCUAGUUUCGAAGGUUUUCCACUGUUGUUUAGAACUGGUUUCGAGGGAGGUUGGGGUGGUGUAGGGCUUUAGGUUGCUGGGUUUUGGGUGGGGAUCGUUGCUGAUGAUUUAGGGUGAAGAAGAAGAAGGAGCUCCGGCGAACUAGGUGGAUGGGCAAUGGUUCUGGUGAGAAAGGGUAUCGCCGGCGAUUUUGGAGAAGAUUUAGUGGCUAGAACGGGGUGUUGAAGUUUGGCAAAAUGCCAAAGUCCCACAUUGGUUGGGAGUUAAGUUUGGA
rnacentral:lncRNA from 1 species